rnacentral:ncRNA from 1 species
AACAUACAGUUUUGGUCCUAGACUUGUUGCUAUUUAUAAUCAAAAUUACACAUGCAAGUAUCCACCCACCAGUGAGAAUGCCCAAUAACACCAAAGGAGCAGGUAUCAGGCACGACUAAUCAGCCCAAGACACCUUGUUACACCACCCCCACACGGGUAAACAGCAGUGAUAGAUAUUAAGCAAUGAGCAAUUAAGCUCGACUUAGUUAUGAUUUUUAAGGGCCGGUCAACCUCGUGCCAGCCACCGCGGUUAUACAAGGGACCCAAAAUAGACAAACCACGGCGUAAAUAGUGACUAGAAUAUGCUAAAUAUCAAAACAACAACUAUGUCCUAACCGUAAAACACAGGACAAACGAACACCUCAGUUUUGUACUACAGCAAUUUGACCACACGAAAACUAAGAAACAAACUAGGAUUAGAUACCCUACUAUGCUUAAUUGUAAAUAAGAUAUACAAGAUACACUAAUAUCCGCCAGAAAAUUACAAGCGAAAAGCUUAAAACCCAAAGGACUUGGCGGUGCUCCACACCCCUUUAGAGGAGCCUGUCCUAUAAUUGAUACUCCACAAUAAACCUUCCCCCCUAUUGCCUUCCCAGCCUAUAUACCGCCGUCGACAAUCUACCCUAUGAAGGAAAAACAGUAGGUACAAUAACAAACCAGCUAAAACGUCAGGUCAAGGUGUAGCUUAUAAGGGGGCAGAGAUGGGCUACAUUUUUUAAUAUAAACAAAACGGCAAAGUACUAUGAAAAAACACUUAAAGGCGGAUUUAAUAGUAAGAUUAACAAGAAAAUUAAUCUUAAACUUACCCUGGAGCGCGCACACACCGCCCGUCACCCUCAUCAUCAUACUAACAACCAUCCAUAAUUUUAUUCUAUAAUAAGACGAGGAAAGUCGUAACAUGGUAAGCGUACCGGAAGGUGUGCUUGGAUCACCAAAAAGUAGCUUAAACAAAGCACCUAACUUACAAUUAGGAUAUGUUAAAACCUUUUUGCGCCACACCACAGCCCAAUUUAACUCACAAAUUAAAACCAAAAAACAAACCAUUUGACAAAAUUAGUAGAAGUGAUCAAAC